rnacentral:rRNA from 1 species
UACGAAGGGGGGCUAGCGUUGCUCGGAAUGACUGGGCGUAAAGGGCGCGUAGGCGGUUUGUACAGUCAGAUGUGAAAAUUCCUGGGCUCAACCUGGGGGGCUGCAUUUGAUACGUGCGGACUAGAGUGGGGAAGAGGUGAGUGGAAUUCCUGGUGUAGCGGUGAAAUGCGUAGAUAUCAGGAGGAACACCUGUGGCGAAAGCGGCUCACUGGACCAUAACUGACGCUGAUGCACGAAAGCUAGGGGAGCAAACAGG